rnacentral:rRNA from 1 species
UACGGAGGGUGCGAGCGUUGUCCGGAAUCACUGGGCGUAAAGGGCGCGUAGGCGGCUUGGGAAGUCCGUGGUGAAAGCUCGUGGCUCAACUGCGAGUCGGCCAUGGAUACUCCUAAGCUCGAGCACUGUAGAGGCAGGUGGAAUUCCGGGUGUAGCGGUGGAAUGCGUAGAGAUCCGGAAGAACACCGGUGGCGAAGGCGGCCUGCUGGGCAGUAGCUGACGCUGAGGAGCGAAAGCGUGGGGAGCGAACAGG